rnacentral:rRNA from 1 species
AGUCGAACGAACCUUCGGGUUAGUGGCGGACGGGUGAGUAACGCGUGAGAAUCUGCCCUCAGGAGGGGGAUAACGGCUGGAAACGGCCGCUAAUACCCCAUAUGCCGCGAGGUGAAAUGAAUUUCGCCUGAGGAUGAGCUCGCGUCUGAUUAGCUAGUUGGUGGGGUAAAGGCCUACCAAGGCAUCGAUCAGUAGCUGGUCUGAGAGGAUGAUCAGCCACACUGGGACUGAGACACGGCCCAGACUCCUACGGGAGGCAGCAGUGGGGAAUUUUCCGCAAUGGGCGAAAGCCUGACGGAGCAACGCCGCGUGAGGGAUGAAGGCCUCUGGGCUGUAAACCUCUUUUAUCAAGGAAGAAGAUCUGACGGUACUUGAUGAAUAAGCCACGGCUAAUUCCGUGCCAGCAGCCGCGGUAAUACGGGAGUGGCAAGCGUUAUCCGGAAUUAUUGGGCGUAAAGCGUCCGCAGGCGGCCCUUCAAGUCUGCUGUUAAAACGUGGAGCUUAACUCCAUCAUGGCAGUGGAAACUGUUGGGCUUGAGUGUGGUAGGGGCAGAGGGAAUUCCCGGUGUAGCGGUGAAAUGCGUAGAUAUCGGGAAGAACACCAGUGGCGAAGGCGCUCUGCUGGGCCAUCACUGACGCUCAUGGACGAAAGCCAGGGGAGCGAAAGGGAUUAGAUACCCCUGUAGUCCUGGCCGUAAACGAUGAACACUAGGUGUCGGGGGAAUCGACCCCCUCGGUGUCGUAGCCAACGCGUUAAGUGUUCCGCCUGGGGAGUACGCACGCAAGUGUGAAACUCAAAGGAAUUGACGGGGGCCCGCACAAGCGGUGGAGUAUGUGGUUUAAUUCGAUGCAACGCGAAGAACCUUACCAGGGUUUGACAUCCUGCGAUUUCUGGGAAACCGGAAAGUGCCUUCGGGAGCGCAGUGACAGUGGUGCAUGCUGUCGUCAGCUCGUGUCGUGAGAUGUGGAUAGUCCCGCACGAGCGCACCCUACUUUAGUGCCACAUUUAGUGGCACUUUAAAAGACUGCAGUGAUAGCUGAGAGUGGGAUGACGUCAGUCUCAUGCCCUACGUGUGGGCUACACACGUGCUACAAUGGGCACUUACAAUGGGAGCCAAGAGGCGACCUAUAGCUAAUCCUAAAAGGGGCUCACAUUCGGGAGUAGCACUCUCGGCAAUCCGAUGCGAUGGAGUUGUGAUUGUCAUAAUUAUUCGAUCGCCCGGCCCCGUCGGUAGAUAACUUACUCGGGGGACUGUAAUAUAAAUAAGAACGUGCCUAC